rnacentral:rRNA from 1 species
UACAGGAGGGCAAGCGUUAGUCCGGAUUACUGGGCGUAAAGCGUGCGCAGGCGGUUAUGCAAGACAGAGGUGAAAUCCCCGGGCUCAACCUGGGAACUGCCUUUGUGACUGCAUAGCUAGAGUACGGUAGAGGGGGGAUGGAAUUCCGCGUGUAGCAGUGAAAUGCGUAGAUAUGCGGAGGAACACCGAUGGCGAAGGCAAUCCCCUGGACCUGUACUGACGCUCAUGCACGAAAGCGUGGGGAGCAAACAGG